GACGAACGCUGGCGGCGUGCCUAAUACAUGCAAGUCGAGCGAGCGAAACUAACAGAUUUACUUCGGUAAUGACGUUAGGAAAGCGAGCGGCGGAUGGGUGAGUAACACGUGGGGAACCCGCCCCAUAGUCUGGGAUACCACUUGGAAACAGGUGCUAAUACCGGAUAAGAAAGCAGAUCGCAUGAUCAGCUUUUAAAAGGCGGCGUAAGCUGUCGCUAUGGGAUGGCCCCGCGGUGCAUUAGCUAGUUGGUAAGGUAAAGGCUUACCAAGGCGAUGAUGCAUAGCCGAGUUGAGAGACUGAUCGGCCACAUUGGGACUGAGACACGGCCCAAACUCCUACGGGAGGCAGCAGUAGGGAAUCUUCCACAAUGGACGCAAGUCUGAUGGAGCAACGCCGCGUGAGUGAAGAAGGUUUUCGGAUCGUAAAGCUCUGUUGUUGGUGAAGAAGGAUAGAGGUAGUAACUGGCCUUUAUUUGACGGUAAUCAACCAGAAAGUCACGGCUAACUACGUG
rnacentral:rRNA from 1 species